rnacentral:tRNA from 1 species
GGGGAUUUAGCUCAGCGGUAGAGCGCUUGCCUAGCAAGUGCAAGGCCCUGGGUUCAGUCCCCG